GGGGGGAUGACCGAGCGGACGAAGGUGACGGUCUUGAAAACCGUUGGCCGGGCAACCGGCCCGUGGGUUCGAAUCCCACUCCCCCCG
rnacentral:tRNA from 1 species